rnacentral:rRNA from 1 species
AGCAGUCGCCGCGGUAAUACGUAGGGUGCGAGCGUUAAUCAGAAUUACUGGGCGUAAAGCGCACGUAGGCGGCUUGGUAAGUUAGAGGUGAAAGCCCGGAGCUCAACUCCGGAAUUGCCUUUAAGACUGCCGAGCUAGUAGGUGAGAGAGGUAAGUGGAAUUCCGAGUGUAGAGGUGAAAUUCGUAGAUAUUCGGAAGAACACCAGUGGCGAAGGCGACUGACUGGACAAGUAUUGACGCUGAGGUGCGAAAGCGUGGGGAGCAAACAGGAUUAGAUACCCCCGUAGUCCCUGUCUCUUAUAC